AUUGAACGCUGGCGGCAGGCCUAACACAUGCAAGUCGAACGAGUGGCGGACGGGUGAGUAAUAUCUGGGAAACUUCCUGAUGGAGGGGGAUAACUACUGGAAACGGUAGCUACAACCGCAUACCAUCAGAUGUGCCCAGAGGGGAUUAGCUUGUUGGUGGGGGAACGGCUCACCAAGGCGACGAUCCCUACCUGGUCUGUGAGGAUGACCAGCCACACUGGAACGGAGACACGGUCCAGACUCCUACGGGAGGAAGCAGUGGGGAAUAUUGCACAAUGGGCGCAAGCCUGAUGCAGCCAGGGCGCGUGUAUGAAGAAGGCCGUCGGGUUGUAAAGUACUUUCAGCGGGGAGGCGUUACCCGCAGAAGAAGCACCGGCUAACUCCGUGCCAGCAGCCGCGGUAAUAC
rnacentral:rRNA from 1 species